GACGUAGGGCGCAGGCGUUGUCCGGAUUUAUUGGGCGUAAAGAGCUCGUAGGCGGCCUGUCGCGUCGACCGUGAAAACCCGCAGCUCAACUGCGGGCUUGCGGUCGAUACGGGCAGGCUGGAGUUCGGUAGGGGAGACUGGAAUUCCUGGUGUAGCGGUGAAAUGCGCAGAUAUCAGGAGGAACACCGGUGGCGAAGGCGGGUCUCUGGGCCGAUACUGACGCUGAGGAGCGAAAGCGUGGGGAGCGAACAGG
rnacentral:rRNA from 1 species